UAACCAAACCGAAGAGCAUGCGCAGAGUACGGAUGAUCGCAUAGCAUAGGAAAUGGCUGGAGCACAACCAUCUGAGACUGUUCUGAGGCGCAGCACCAGAGCGUGCACUAAGCCAUUGAUGUUCCGUGAGGCUACAUGAAGGGAAUUGUAAGGAAAAUAGAGGUGAUUGUGACAUAAGGUGCUUUCAUUGAGAGUCCUAAUGGCGGAUAACCCUCAUUUGAAGAUUUGCAGAGUGACAUCAGGAAGCUCUCAGAGCUUGGUGAUCAUCGUGACUUCAAGUACACGGUCCGCAUGGAUCAUUUAGAGCACACUUUGACUGAAAUAUCGACUAGUGUUCAAGAACUGAUUUGAGGAAUGGCAACACUGAAUAUGGAAAUUGCUAUUGGGACUUCGAGCUCAAGGACAGCGAUCACCGGAGAAGCUCAGAACUAUCAACCCUUUCAACUUAAACAGGCGAAACUUGACUUUCCUAGGUUUGACGGCUCUGAAUCGUUACAAUGGUUGUUUCGUGCUAAGCAGUUCUUCAACUACUACGAAACGCUGGAUGCUCAGAGGAUCACGAUAGCCGCUGAUCACAGGGACGGCUCUGCCACGACUUGGUUUCCAAUGAUGUAAAAAAUGCAUCAGUUCUCGAGUUAGGCCACACUUGCAAAAGCUAUUGAAGCCCAGUUUGGGCCCACCAAAUUUGAUUACCCACAAACACAGUUAUUCAAGUUAAACUAGUCAGGGUCUGCCUCUGACUACCAUACCCAGUUCAUGACGUUAGCUAAUCGAGUAGAAGGGCUAUCGGAAGAUGCACUACGAGACUGCUUCAUCAGUGGUCUCAAGGGAGACAUUCGUCGCAAGGUGGUAGUUAAAGAACCCACAAGUUUGAUCAGUGCAGCAGCGUUAGCUCGUUUAUAUGAUGAAAAACUCUAAACUCUAAACCAGUAUUCAGUCCUCAAACUGGUCAAGGAGGGGCUCUUUCUUCGAAGGCAACCUUACACCCAUUACUCCUUAAACCCACUACCAAGCCGUUAACUCCUGUAAAGUGACUGACUCCAGCAGAGAUAAAACUUAAAAGGGACAAAGGGUUAUGUUAUACGUGUGAUGAGAAGUUCACUCCGAGCCAUCAAUGCCAAAACCAACAGCACACGCUGCUACAUUAUGAGAAUGAAGGGGAAAACGCUGAACUUGUAGAGGAGGGUCAGUCAUCCGAAACUCCUUUAGGGCAAGAAGAAACAUACGAGUUCCAUCACUUGUCUUUACCAGCAUUGCAAGGCUUUUCGGGUAAGUGUACCAUACUCUUCUGAGGCUCUAUUUUGCGUACUAAUGUCUCUAUGUUCUUGGAUGGUGGAAGCUCAUAUAAUUUUAUACAGCCAAGAUUAGUAAAGCAUUUCAAACUACCUAUUGAGAAGGUGCCUGAUUUUAAGGUCAUGGUUGGGGGUGGAAAUCAUCUGCAGGGCAAUAGCGUGGUACGCGAGUUGCCAUUGAUCAUUGAUGGAAAUCACAUCAACAUCUCUGCUUAUGCUCUGGAAGCUACUGGUUAUGAUGUCGUACUUGGAGCAGAAUGGCUAGCCACCUUAGGGGAACAGUUGGUGAAUUACAGCACGGCUACCUUGAAAUGUUUACAUAAUGAUCAAUGGGUAAACUUUACAAGGUGAUAGAGAACAUUUACCAAAGGUGGCCCAAUUUCACCAACUGCUAAGGCUAUGUGAAACUGAAUCUAUUGCAGAGCUGUACACCAUGGAAUACCAUCAAAUUAUUCCUAAGGCCAAUCAGGAAUUCUUAGUACCUGAAGGUGUUGCUCCAGACUUGGCUGCAUUAUUGGUGAAGUAUCAAGAGGUCUUCAAGGUGCCAAAAGGGCUCCCUCCUCCACGUUCGCAUGAUCAUGAGAUACAUCUGCAACCAGGCAUUCCCUCCGUAAAGUGUCUGUGCUACAUUGGCUAUCCUUUCAGCCAGAAAAACCGGAUUGAGAAAUGGUCAAUGAGAUGUUGGCAAAAGGAAUCAUCCAACCAAGCAAUAGCCUGUAUUCAGCACUUGUGUUACUAGUCAACAAGAAAGAUGGAACAUGGAGGUUCUACACAGAUUAUAGGGCUUUAAACACUGUCAUGAUAAAGGAUUCUUUUCCUAUUCCUUCGGUGGAUGAACUACUAGAUGAAUUGAAGGGUGCCUGCUAUUUCUCUAAGCUGGAUCUUAGGUCUGGCUAUCAUCAAAUCCUUGUUAAGGAGGAAGACCGAGCAAAGACAGCUUUCAAAACUCAACAAGGGCACUAUGAAUGGCUUGUUAUGCCAAUUGGGCUAACCAAUGCCCCUGCUACAUUUCAGUCACUAAUGAAUGAGGUAUUUCGUUCUUAUUUAAGAUGAUUUGUGCCGGUGUUGUGAUUGGGGUACACAUCUGGAACAUUUAGAAACUGUGCUUGCCUGUUUGUUUGAGCACACAAUUGUAUGCUAAGCUGACAAAAUUGUUCAUUUGGACAAACUAAAAUGCAUUAUUUGGGGCAUGUUGUUUCUACAUUGGGGGUAGAAAUGGAUCAAGAGAAGUUUAAGGCUGUGGAGGAGUGGCCUAUACCAUCAAAUGUCACACAAUUAAGGGGAUUUUUAGGCUUAACGGGCUAUUAUCGGUGGUUUAUUAAGAAUUAUGCAGCCAUAGCCUGUCCAUUGACAGCUCUUUUGUAGAAAAAUAAAUUUGUGUGGAAUGAGGAAGCUUAACUAGCUUUUGAAAAACUUAAGGCUGUCUUAAUUCAAGCACCCAGUUUAGCAAUGCCUGAUUUUUCUAAGCCCUUCAUAGUCGAGACAGAUGCUUCGGGCAGUGGGAUUGGUGCUGUCUUGUCCCAAGAAAACCAUCCCAUUGCGUAAUUUAGCAAGAAGUUGACCCCUCAGUUACAAGCUCAGUCAACAUAUGUUUGUGAACUUUAUGCAAUUACUGAAGCAAUGGCGAAGUUCAGACAUUACUUAAUGGGACACUUCUUCAUUGUCCGUACUGACCGAAAAGGCCUGAAACAUCUUUCAGAGCAAACGAUACAGACCCCUGAACACGAAGCACGGCUACCUAAACUCCUGGGAUUCAAUUAUUCUAUUGAGUAUAAGCCUGGGAAGUCAAAUCAAACAGCAGAUGCUCUUUCUCGCUCAUUUCAUAUGGCUGUGACUUUGCCACAAAUUGAAUUAAUUAAGGAGAUUCGUGCAGCUGUAUCUACAGCAGAAGAAAUAAAGGAGUUGAUGCAGAAAUUCACAGAACAGCCACAAGAAAUGGUUGAUUAUAAAUUACUCGAUGGUCUCUUGUAGUGGCAGAACGGAAAUGUGAUCCCAUGUGAAGCCACAGGGAUAAUUUCAAAUUAAUGACUGAAUUUCAUUCAUCAUCUAUAGGAGGUCAUGCUGGGUUUGUUGGAACCUAUACUGGCCUUGCUACUUAUUAUUCCUGGCAGAACAUGAGAAAGGACAUUAAGAGUUCAUACGCUCCUGUCAAAUCUGUCAACGGGCAAAACCCUCCAGCUUCAUCCCAGUGGGUUAUUAAGCCCAUUACCAAUACAUAAUCAGAUCUGGGAGGAUGUAGCCAUGGAUUUCAUAACCGGGCUACCAAAUUCGAAUGGAUUUUCUGUGAUAAUGGUAGUUGUUGAUAGAUUGUCUAAAUAUGGGCUUUCACUCCCUUAAGAGCUUCUUAUAAGAGUGUACAAGUGACUAAAGCUUUUGUGCACGCAGUCGUCAAGCUUCAUGGUGUUCUACGGUCUAUAUUAUCUGAUCGAGAUAGUGUUCAUAAGUCAUUUAUGGCAGCAGCUUUUAAGUUAUAAGGAACAACAUUGAAGAUGAGUUCAGCCUAUUAUCCUUAAACGAAUGGUCAAAGCAAGGCAUUGAACUGAUGCUUAGAGAUGUAUCUCAGAUAUUUUGUCUUUCAUGCUCCAAAAGCUUGGGUCACUUUCCUUCCAUUGGCCGAGGUUUGGUAUAAUGCAUCUUUUCAUUCUUCCAUUGGCAUGACACCAUUUAAAGUGGUGAAUGGAAGAGAACCACCUGCUGUGAUAAGGCAUUCGAACUUGGAAGAUGUUGUUGUGGAUGUGCAAGAAUUUGAAGGAUAGAGAUGCAGUAUUAGAAAUACUAAAGUUUAAUCUUGAGAAGGCCCAAGCACGAAUGAAGAGAUUUUCUAAUAAAAAGAGAACGGAUGUUCAAUUUAAGGUGGGUGAUUAUAUUUGUGAAAUUGCAGCCAUAUCGUCAACACUCAGUGCGGUUGAGGCAAAAUCAAAAGCUGUCUCCGAAGAAUUUUAGCCCUUUGUUAACUCUGGAAAAGAUUGGAAAUGUUGCAUAUAAGCUUCACUUACCCACACAAGCCAAAAUUCACCCUGUGUUCCAUGUUUCAUUUCUGAAAUAAUGUGAUGGGUGCCCGAAAGAUAUAUAUGUACCCCUGCCUCUUAUGACUGAAGAAGAAGCUCCAAUUAUACAUCCUAUACGAGUUCUACAGAAGAGGGAAGUACUAGUAUCGGACAAAUGGAAGUCUCAAUGUUUAGUGCAAUGGGAUGCUGAUAUGAAUUCUACUUGGGAGUUUGAAGAUUAUCCGCGAAAGAAUUACCCAGAUCUGGACCUUGAGGACAAGGUCACUCUUAAUGGGAAAAGUAAUGUCAUGAAGGAGCCCAAAAGGAAGCAAUGGGCUCCGAGACUGAAGCCCAAGAUGUGAAUGUCAUAAGUGAUGAGCUGGCAAAUGAGGAUAACCAAACCACAGAGCAUACGCAGAGUACGGAUGAUCGCAUAGCAGCGGAGAUGGCUGGAGUGCAACCAUCCGAGACUGUUCUAAGGCGCAGCACCAGAGUGCGCACUAAGCCAUUGAGGUUCCGUGAGGGUAUAUGAGGGGAAUUGUAAGGAAAAUAGAGGUUAGGCAAAUUUUGUUAGAGGACGUAUCUCCCUCUAUGUCUUUCUCUCUGUGUUUCCUUCUUCUUCUGUUUUCUCCUUAAGACUAUAGAAUCAUUUUCCCCUGUUCCUAGCAGUUGCUGUGACUGAUAGCUUUUCGGCUGAAUAAUACUAAACCUCUGGAAAUCUUUCAUCUAAUUGCAUCUAUUUCUGGAAUCUUUGGUAUUUGUAAUUCUUUCGAGUGCAAGUGAUCAUGACAGCUUGUUGUA